GACGAACGCUGGCGGCGUGCUUAACACAUGCAAGUCGAGCGGUAAGGCCCUUUCGGGGGUACACGAGCGGCGAACGGGUGAGUAACACGUGGGUGACCUGCCCUCAGCUCUGGGAUAAGCCUGGGAAACUGGGUCUAAUACUGGAUAUGACUCCACGGUGCAUGUCGGUGGGGUGGAAAGCCUUGUGCGGCUGAGGAUGGGCCCGCGGCCUAUCAGCUUGUUGGUGGGGUGANGGGCCUACCAAGGCGACGACGGGUAGCCGGCCUGAGAGGGCGACCGGCCACACU
rnacentral:rRNA from 1 species